UCGCAAUGCAGGCCAAUCCCUCUGCCCCGUUCGUCCACCCGCUCGCUCGCCCUCCCGUUCCCGGUAAUGACAAUCAUUACGGGGAAUGAUUGCAGCGUCGGGUCCGCCAGCGCGCCAGCCGCUAUUGGGGGAUGGAAACCACCUUAUAGAGUCUCUCCUCGGUCCUCGAUGCGAGCGGUUUGUCACAUGCUCCCGCCGUGCCAAAGUGUUUCCUUUGCGCCGUGACGAAAUCGGUGAAGAAAAAUCCCUGUCCCUUUCACGAAACGAACGAGGCGUUGGUUGCUCGAUACGCGUCGCACGCUCGAUGCUUCCAACUAUUCCACUCCGCGAAUAUUUCGAAUAUUUUAUGGAGCGCACGCGUGGAUUUUUCGUGCAACGACGAGGAUGGAUUUCGCAACGAUCAAAGCCUCGGGUCGCGGCUUCGAAGAGAGUGUCGAAGGAACUGAGGUAAACUUUGUUGUUGUGAUAUCGAUUCGAAGGAAGUGACGAGCGGAACGAGGAGUGUUUGUGUUUGGACGACGAAGCGACGGGCAACGCGCGAUGGAGAUAUCGGUGUAAAAGAAGUACGUUUGUGCACGAGAGGAGGGGAAUUUAUUCGUAUCUAAGAUGGUAAAAUACACAAGAUAUAUGUAUAUACGAAUGUAAUAGGAGGACACGACGGUGAUGUACGAGAUGGCAGAGAAAUAUGGCGGUCGUUCGACCACGUGACCCUUUUUUAUAUCUCCAAGGUGCAGCGCACAGGGACAGGGGAAAAAAGAGAACGAGAACCUUGAACCAAUCGUAAAUGGCGUGGAGUGAAAGCGGUCGGUCUCCGCGGUUUUCCCAGAAGAGCGCGAGCCACGAAAUUAUCGACCUGUAAAUCGGAACGAAGGAUCUCUCGUUUCUUACUCUCUCAGGGUAUAUAUAUAUAUAUAAACCUCUAUGUGUUACGGAAGAAAGAAAAAAAAGCCGAAUGCACCGAAAUGUAAAAAAAUCGAGAACGGUACCAACUUCGAAUCGGCGAAUUCAGACGUUACGUUACGUUAUCCCCAGGAGCACGUUUAUCCUCGCAUCAAUCCUCGUGCGUCGAAACGAGGCUCGAUGCGAUUGAUUCCCAUCAUCCAUUUGACGGAUUGCGCAUCGUCUAACGAUGUUUAGAUAUUUCAGAAAAUGAUUGGUGGAGGCCUGCCCUUUCGAAGAUCCGUAUCGGAAACGUUAUUGCACAACGCUACGUACGAAUGAUUGAUGAGAGAGUGCACUACUUUCUGAUGCGGUUUCAAUAAAAACGAAAAAAAAGAAAAAAAAAAAAAAGAAACUGUCUCAUUUAUUUUCGACGAACGAUAAACCCCUCUUGCAAUGCCCCCAUCUGGAUUAAUGGGUUACCGUUAUCGUAUCUCGCUCCUCUCUUUCUUUCUGCAUUCCUCGAUUCGGUUAUUACGGUAAUGGGGAAAUAAAACGGUAGUAGUGCUCGCCCACGAGAGAAAUCGUUACGUUGCGGAGGAGGACGAGGAGGUUGAGGAUCGGCGAGAAAGCGGCGUGGGGGUCACACCUCGUGGGGGUCGAUCGAAGAGAGCGAGACGAGAUGGAGCACGGUGACAAUGUACCCCCGUGACUCGAUUACACACGAGGUACCGUUAAUCAUCCUUAAUAGCGCGCGCAUAAUAGCGCGAGUACGAGAUACGAUCGGCCACGGUGGAUUCGUGAUUCCACGCUCCUCCAACGAUCGUUGUCCUCCCACGUGCACAGGGGCCGUGUCGCGCACAGGAUGCGUCCAAUGGUGAAAUGAAACGAAUUCUCCGCGGUUCAGAAGCUUGCGGCGCCGGCGGCGGCCAGUUUCAGUCAGAGUUCAGUGAAUGGGCGUACAUGAAGACAAUCCAAUCCCGCUCGAUUCCCGAUUGGACGUCGCCUUCUAAUUGAGUCAUCGUGUCAUUAGUAAUAAUCGCGCGUGUAACGGAACGAACGAUCUCCUCUCGUUGCAAGGAGAGAGAGAGAGAGAGAGAGAAGAGGCGGCGUGAAAAAUAUGGACGAUACACCCUGAGAAGAUGGUGCGUACAUCGAUGCCCAAUUAAGCUCAAUUACAGGCACGGAUAAUGGGCGAGCAUCGGUGAAAGAAUGAUUAUUCCGCGAACGGUUAGGAUGAUCGACCUUGGCUGAUUUUGCGCAAGAUCGAUUUGCGCAGGAUAGAAGGAAUUAUCGAAUGGAAUGGAAAAAUGCGAUGGAAGGGAAAAAAGAAUGGUAAGGUGCAGGAAGAAAAUUGAAAGGAAGGAAGGACGUAGGAGAUUGGAACGCGAUGAUUAACUGGCUCGGCUGGAGAUUGAUCAGAAUCGUCCCCGUUCGGAAAUGUUAGAAAAAUUAAAAUCUAAUUGGAAAAUUAUUAAAGCGAAAAUAUUUGGUGGACAAGCGUACAUACACGGGCUACGUAUACACUUGUGGCCAACAAAUGUCCUGUUACUUACGAACAAUGGAGCGUAUAUUCAUCCGUUUCACUGGGAAUUCGAACAAAGAGGACCUCGCAUUUUCGGAACGAGUUACCGGAAGAUCGCGUGCCGUCGAAAUAUUCUGGAAAUAUGCUAAUUACCAGUUAGUCAGUUUCUUGUGGCAUUGCGCCGGUUUCUACGAUCGCUACGAUUGCCUCCUUUCCUCGCGGUUCACCUUGUCUCGAGCUUUUGUCCCGUGUUCUUUCGUGCCUCUUUGUCCCGGUUUUCAGGCUUGUUCUUCUACUUUUUCGUGUCUCUGCACGAAACGCGAUGCGACGCCGUUUACAUUCUUUUUCCUCCAGUUUGAAGAACAGGAUUAAUCCUCUUACCCAGCGAUGUUUUAAUCAAAGAAAUCGCGUAUCACGUAUCCAGUGUUAAAUAGGAGAUCCACAAUUCGCGAAUCCAAUCCCACGAAUUAAUUCUCCCCUCUUAAUAUCGAUAUAUAUCAAGUUGCAUCGAGUUCCUCUUACAAUUAACUAUUCGACUGCACGGAUAUAUAUAUAUAUAUAGUUAUAGUUUGAAAAGAAGAAAGAAAGAGAGAGAAAGAGAGAAAAAAAAGAGUCCUACCUAGGCCACCUAGCAGUCGUUUCUCUUUGUUGCGCGCACCGUGCAUACUUUCUGUCUUCACUCCCAUUAAUUAACCAACCACGCCGUGUACGCGGUUGCUCUCCUGUUUCGAGAAUGAGGAGCGACCCUUGCGCUGUAUCGCCGGCCUACAACAUCCGCCCUGAAUUAAUUGAAUAUACGGCUCGCGUUUACACGCGAUACGGAGCCAGCCUUUUGCGAGUUGACUAAUACCGGGCUUCGGUUCGUAUACCGGGGAAAAUUAAAAAUUCAUCGGAAAUCGCGCGUAGGACGGCCUACCUUGUUCCCGCGAAACCUUGUGGUUUCGUGCGAUUCGUGGCACCCACAAUCCCCCCGCGAAUUGGGGGGAACGGAAAAAGAAAAAAGAAAAAAAAAGAUUUCUUGGAAACUUAUCCUAUCUGAAUACGUCAUCUUAAUAAACGCGUCGAGAACUCGCUUCCUUUCCGAGACUCCUUCUCCGAUUCUCUAUUCUAUCUAAAUAGAAAUUAGGAAAGUCAAAGUUUCGUUUCUCGAAUGGAUGGAUCUCUCCGCUUCGACGCGUCUUCCAAACAUCUUCCUCAUUCUCUUCGAGCACACGGGUGAAAUCGUGACGUUUGCACCUUCGUGUGUACGCACCUACGAGGCGUUGUAUGGAACAACCGGAAACGAGGGCAGGUCUAUUAUCGCCCUGGAGGUUAUACGAGCUAGCCGAAGUUUCAUCGCCACGGAGUUCCAGGUACAGCAAUAUGUUGUUUUAUGGUGCAAUCAUCGGCACGGUAAUAAUCAUUAAAUCCGAAGCUGUGUGCUUCAGGCUCUCCUCUCCCCGCCGAACGAGCCCGUCGUUAGUCUCAGAUUGAUUCGUUCAUCUCGAUCACGCGUGUUGCUGUGAUGAUAUUUAACGCGAUCGAAUAUUCUGAAAUCAAUUGCAUAUAUAUAUAUAUUUCUCCGGGAAGAAAAGAAUCUUUUUUCGGAAAAAAAAAAAAAAAAUUACCGAAAUUGAAAAAUUGUGGAUAACGUCGUUCAUCGACUUUCAAUCGAGUUUAAGAAAAGGAGCGCUCCUUGUCGUCGAAAAAAGGAAUUACAAUUUAAUUCUCCUCGAGAAAAAAAAAAAGGAAAGAAGAUCGGAAGAUUGUUCGAAGGAAGGAAGUUUCUGCUAUCCAACGAAUCAUUUUCCUUCGUCUCUGUGACAAAGGAAAGAAAGAAAAAGAGACUAGGGGAGCGGUUAGUUAACGAUGGCCAUAAUUGCGGUUUAUUGUCUCAAUAAAUAUAUACGACACAGAGUGUACGAAGGCAGAAGAAGCUUGAUCGAGUUGCUUCCUGGGAUUUGAAAUCAGGCGGCGUGUGUCCGCGUGUAUCAAGGCACAGUUUAUGGGCCUGGUUAAUAUGGUUUAUGGCGUUUCGUUCUACUCCCCGCGGAACCGGAAGCCGCCUAAUGAUCUGCCGCCUCGAAAGAUGAAAAAUGACCGAAGAUCGAAUAACGAUCGAGGAGAGACGAAAACGCGUCUUUCCUCUUCGAAAAAUUAUAGCCACGUAUUUAUAAAGACAAAAUACAUAUAUAUAUAUAUAUUCACAAUUAUAUUUCGCAAAGAAGAAUGAUUUAUUCUGACGGAAGAAGAUGUUGCCAAGAGAACGAUACCUCAAUUAUUUCGUCUCAUGAAUUUCCAAUUAUAUUUUCUAUUUCUUUUUUUUUUUUUUUUUGCUAAAAUUGUAUCAUCGCACCGAUAUAAUCGGUCAUAAUUUGCUCAAAGAAGGAGUGCGAAGGAACAAUUUAUCGUCGUUAUGGUCAUUGGUCAGCUGUGUGGUAACCAUGUAAUAUAUCGUUCCAUAAUAAACGAUCAAGGAGACAGGAAGCGUCUCAACAAUUUGCCAUAUAUGUGCCUGCUUCCGCUCUGAAUUCAUCGAUCUCUCGGCUCGGCGAUUGAUAAUAUUUGACGGCGUUGUUUCACGCUGUUAAUACAACACUUUCCAACCAACGUGUCCAUUCAGCCAAGAAUCAUUGCGCAACGCGAAAUAAUUAACUGAAAAAGUAAACGACGUAAAUGUUCCAGUUUUCUAAUCUUCUAACCACACAUAGACGGUUUACGCAUAUGAGUUUCGCCGAUGAGUGGCCAUUAGAAGUUCGUUAUCCUUAUCAUAAUUACGCUAACGUGGUUCAACUUACCGUGCACACGAAUUACCGCGAAUCGUUGGGUAUCGUGUCACUCUAUUCGUAUAAUCUAAUAAUAAUUCAUAUAACGUCUCGCGGACGUGAUGAUCGGAAGAUAACGAAAAUGACGAACUACGCCCGUGUAAUACCGAGCGAUGGAAACGAAAGUUGAAAACUACUAUGAUCGUACUAACUAACAGUAGAUUCAUUUUUCAAUCUAUUCGUUGGCCGAAAGGGUGAUAUUUCUCGAGUAAUCGGUGCAACAGAAAAUGAAAAUUCUGAAUAAGUUCUGGCGUUAGAGAAUAAAAAGAAGUUUUCAUUUAGAGGAAAUUUUAGAUCUUGGAAAAAUUAACUGUGUAAUUAUUUUUCACUUACGUUAUGUUAUAUAUAUAUAUAUAUAUAUUUAUAUUAUGUUGCGUGAAUAUGUUCGAUUACUAUUCCAUUCAUCAGCUUUAAAAAAAAAUAAUGUUCAAUUCAUUAUGUGUUAUAAUGUGUAGAAAAACUGAAAAUAUAAUUCUAUCUAAAA